CUUCGUCUGGGGGGGGUGGCCGGGGCUCCGGCCUCGGCGGCUUGCAAAGCCCCCAUCUUGACCGAGAUCUGAAGAAGUAGACUAUUGUUCUGCGAUCGGGAAGAGAUGCCGGCCCUCGCGUGCGUAGAUGCUGCAGCGCCGCCCCCUGGCUACGUCUUCGCUUGGGAUGGCGCUCUUCCCGCGCCGGGGAUAUUCCCCGGCGACACUCCGACUACGGCGGGUGGUGUCACCGCCGACCGCCCCUCCGACUGGUCCACCGACCUCUCCGCCUCCCUCUACCGGAUCGAAGGCUGGGGCGCGCCUUACUUCUGCGUCAAUUCCGACGGCGACAUCGCCGUCCGGCCGCACGGCGCAGCCACCCUCGCCCACCAAGAGAUCGACCUCAUGAAGGUGGUGAAGAAAGCCACCGACCCCAAGUCCGCCGGCGGGCUAGGCCUCCGC
rnacentral:lncRNA from 1 species